rnacentral:misc_RNA from 1 species
UAGGUUCGAUCUCUUAUCUUAUAGGGCCAACGCGCCUAUUCUAUUACAUUCCUUUCUUUUUUCUGGUGAACCUGUCCCAUUGCCCGAAUCCAGGAAUGGUGAUGUCUCGUCUUGACAUGGCUUACCCUAAACGGCUUUAAUGGAACAUGCCUAGGGCAGAGAGAGGUCAGUUUAUCUAGCCCGAUAGGCAAAGACCUUAAUAGAAGGCACUUAUAAUAAAAAAGACGAUUAGCUUAAAGGUUAUCCGAUGAGAUGAAAUUAUUUAGUAGAACAGAUAAUGGAAAUUGCAUAAAGAGAUAAGAGAUCUGAUCAAUAGGAGGAGGAGUCCGUAGCGUAGGUAGGAUAAUUUUUCAUGCCACGACGAUCUAUUGAUAUAAGACUACGCCUCAUUCUCCGAAAAUUGAGGAAAGAAUAAACCAAAGAAUAGCGAAGGGAAAGAAAAAGAGUUCAAAGAAAGGAUUGUUGAAGAAAGCUAAGAAAGAUAGACAUAAGAAGAGGAUAUGACAGACUGACUACAGAUGCCAUCUCGCGAUAAUCUAGCUAUUUAUAUAAAUCACCAUUGCCAAGUGGCUUGGCUUCAGUCGUUACACCAUUCGUGCAGGUCGCUACUUAUGCGACAAGGCAGAUGGAUAGUCCGCUUUCAACUGUUGUUAAGCAUUGACAGACGACUGCCCACUAAACCGAUUACCCGGAGCUAGAAGAUCUUUUGCAGCUCUUAGUCCCUCUUACAUUCUUCUAUUCUGCUG